ensembl:lncRNA uncharacterized LOC107551462
AGAUUAGAUUUUGCUCUUCUAAUCCAACAGAUUAUCACUGCACACAACACUACUGACCAGUAGGGCUUUACAUUUCAACACAAUUCUCACGCAUUGAUCAUUUUCUACGUUCUUCACUGCAAAACAUUUCAACGAGGACCCUUUUACAAAAUCUGCAGGAAAUGGACUGACCACGGAUGGGAUUUAUGUCAUGUGGCGAUGCGUUUCCAUGAUAAUUCUAUUAGAGUCCAUGUGGAUGUCAGGCUUUAGAAAAUACUACACGCUGUCACUAAUGGAUAUAGGUGCUCAUCGGUUUGUCAGUUGAGCAGCAGCGACAUCAGUUUCUAUAAACCUGGUGUGUGGUGUGUGCUGGGAAGACAUUCAGCACUUUUAAGAAGAGAUAAAUGGUAUCCUUAGCACCGUGUGGGGACAUGGAACCAGAAGCUGAAGAAGCAGAGGAGACAUUGUUGGAGUCUGAGAUGUUUGUAAACACAAUUAGUGACAAACAGGAGGUGAAGAGUGAAGAAGCUAUUUUGCAGCCUUGGCAGGUGUUUCAAGAACCAAGCAUGGAGUUACAGAGAACGAAUAUCACAGGAAAGGAGAAUGGGAAGAAAACGGUAGGAGUCAAAGAGGAUGACGAAGGAAGUGAGGCAAAAAAUGAAACGGAUAAUAAAGUGGCAGAAGCGAUGAUGUGUGCUGAAAACUUAAGCAACAUGCCAACAGAUGCUAAUGACUCAAGCAGCGACCCAACCAAUGAGCCCAUCUCCUCAAAUUCUCACACCAGCCCACCUGAGACCAAUGAAUCAGACACAGGGGACAGCAGAAAACUGACAAAGAACCCCAGCUUUGGGAAAACAGUUCGUUUUAAGGAAAUUGAAGCAGUGGAAGAAAGGGACAGCUCAGUGGACACCCUUUUUUCAGACUUUGAGAUAGAAGAGUGGACCACCACCAGCUUUGAAGAGCUGUUUCUGGCAGAUGACUGGAAGGACAUUGCAGAUGAGCGUCUGAUAAGGAAGAAGGUGUUACAGGCCAGUCCCGAGAAUGCCCUGACCCCGGCUUGGGGUCAGGAAGUCACACUGAAAAUGCAGGGUGUGCUGGAGGAUAGGACUGUGGUGGAGAAAGACUGCAAGUUGGUCUUCGUUAUCGGAGAGGGAGAUGUCAACCAGGUGAGGCACAAAGACAGGCAGAGGAGGGGCAGCCUCAAACACACACACACACACACACAAACACACAAACACUCACAAGAAGCCCUGGAACACCCACCUGCAUCCUGCCUAUCACCUCACACCUGCUGCCUGUUGAGUUUUCCAUAGGGAUUAACCUGUGUUUUCACAUGUUGAGUUCUGUAUGUGUUUACCCAAGGCUGUGAAAAAGUCACCUCCUUGCUGAUUCACUUUCAGUGAAAAGUUAGUAAGGUCAAUCUUUUUUGCCAGCUUGUUUAGACACUUCAGACUGCGUUAAAGCCUUAUAAUAUGCAUUGCUUCCUUUAAGUUAUCUUGUUGAGAUCAUCAGUGCAUGUACAGUAAAAUCUAUAUGUGUUACCUGAAGUUUAAAAUGUGACUGUAUAGGCCCUGGAAGAGUGCACCAUUUCGAUGAAGCAAGGGGAGAUCGCAUUACUGCUUGCAGAUUCACAAUACACCUAUGGACAUCUGGGAAGGUAAGAAGGAAAAUAUACCUGUAUUAUUUAUCGAAUAACAUACACACUGACUGAGUUUUGGGCUUAAAUGCAAGCAGGUUUGGUGAAUUUAUGUUCUUUCACAUUCUGUUAUAAGUUAGAAAUUUAUAAGAAAUAAUUUUAGAAAGUUAUAAGGAAGUAAGGGAGGGUGGAGGACACUGCUGAACGGGUCUCUUGUGACAUCAAUUUAAAAAAGUCAAGUGGCUUCUAUCCUCACAGGGUGGGACAGAGUCAUUUUAUACCUGUUGCUCUCAGGGAAAAUGGCCUGUCCCCAGUAGCUUGUUAAAUGAACCAUGAACAGGAGCAGAUGGCCUUCCCAAAAUACCAUUGAGGGCAUUCAGGAACCCCUUCCCUCCCCUAUCCUCUCAAUUCGUUAACUACAGGCAAUACUUUUGUUUAACCACUUGCUUCAAUCAUUUAUUUAUACCAUGAAGGUGAAAAUUCAAUAAAAUGUAAGUUCAGUACUUACAUUGUUGAUGUGUAUAUUUUCAGAAGUAAAAAGACAAAACCAGUGUUGUCUGAAUCAGCACAUUCUCAGGAAUGUGUGACAUGCAUCAGAUGGUGGCAGAAUUGAUUCAUUAUCAGGCAACCCCCUCACAUAUGGUGAU